rnacentral:rRNA from 1 species
UCCGGGGGAACCGCCGAAGAAGCGGCGAAGUGAAGCGGGAAGAGCUCAAAUUUGAAAUCUGGUAGCCUUCGGUUGCCCGAGUUGUAAUCUAGAGAAAUGUUUUCCGUGCCGGCCCAUGUACAAGUCCCUUGGAACAGGGCGUCAUAGAGGGUGAGAAUCCCGUCCUUGACAUGGACCCCCGGUGCUUUGUGAUACAUUUUCAACGAGUCGAGUUGUUUGGGAAUGCAGCUCAAAAUGGGUGGUGAAUUCCAUCUAAAGCUAAAUAUUGGCGAGAGACCGAUAGCGAACAAGUACCGUGAGGGAAAGAUGAAAAGCACUUUGGAAAGAGAGUUAAACAGUACGUGAAAUUGUUGAAAGGGAAACGAUUGAAGUCAGUCAUGCUCUUUGGUAUUUAUAUCAUUGAGUGGGGUCAACAUCAGUUUUGAUCGAUGGAUAAAGGCACUAGGAAGGUAGCACUCUCGGGUGAACUUAUAGCCUAGCGUCAUAUACAUUGAUUGGGACUGAGGAACGCAGCAUGCCUUUAUGGCCGGGAUUCGUCCACGUACAUGCUUAGGAUGUUGACAUAAUGGCUUUAAACGACCCGUCU